rnacentral:misc_RNA from 1 species
GAUGAAGUGAGUAUUGUUCGACUUUAUUAUGCUAUUUAACAGAGCCAGAGCAUCAUCAAAUUGAAAUUAAGAUUUUUAGGAAGCUAAGCUAACAUUUUGAAGUAGUUAGUGUCUAGCCUUCUAAAAGCACAUGUGAAUGACUUAUAGAAAUUCCGAUUCCAACCUUAGAUGGUAGAAAAGUUAGGUGUCUUCUAGGAUGCUUAGAGUUAGGAAAUAUGCCUGUGUACGAUAAAGUGGCUUAAAUCAGGACUUGAAUGCAUGAUGAUUCAUCCGGGUGAAAGAAAAAGGUCAAAAGGUUUGGUAGAAACUAGGUCAACUUGCACAGGAAAUGCUUCAACAUAGACUAAGAAUGCAUCAAAUAGAUGAGAUGGUAGCAUCUACAAC